rnacentral:lncRNA from 1 species
CUUUUCUCAGUGCGGCCGCUAGAUGGCACACUUGCUCCACCUGAAAAUCCCCGGCGCUGCGGCUGCGGGCGCCGGCGGCUGCACCUCGCGCCUCGGUCCGCCCUGAAUCUACAAAUUGAGCGCUAUCAAAAGUCAUGAAUAAUUUGCGCAGAAUAAAAACAUAGGGUUAAUUAAGGUCAUUUCCCCCAUUUUAUAGAUUUCAGAUGUAGUGGGGUUGACACCCCCUUCCCCUUAAACGACCAAUUUCUGAAUUUCCCCCGGAGGACGGCUCAGGGCUUCUCACGCAGUUUCUAUGUUCCGUGGGACAAAAAAUGCAUGACAACGGUGGAUAAUAGUAAUAAUAGGAAUAGUGGAUCCAAAUAAAACAGGAGGAUUGGUUCAGGAAUGUGAGGUUAUCCGGGGAAGUGGGCGAGAGGAAUGUCUGCGGAUGCGGGUGAGCAGGUCAGGUGAGAGGGGUGAGCAGCAGCAGAAGGUCUGAUGGAGAGGAAGCAGCCCCAACCAGCUGCAGGAUCCGGCGGGAGAGGGAACCGGGAAUUUCUGGCACGGUGUAGGGAUGAUUUAGAACAAGCCAUUGAAUUUCUACCUCACCGCCCCCAACUACAGCCGCCGCCGCCGCCGCCGCCUCAAAAUUCAAUAAAAUGAGCUCUUAUUUCGUCAACUCACUGUUCUCCAAAUACAAAACCGGGGAGUCCCUGCGCCCCAAUUAUUAUGACUGCGGCUUCGCCCAGGACCUGGGCGGCCGACCCACCGUGGUGUACGGUCCCAGCAGCGGCGGCAGCUUCCAGCACCCGUCGCAAAUCCAGGAGUUCUACCACGGGCCGUCGUCGCUGUCCACGGCUCCCUACCAGCAGAACCCGUGCGCCGUGGCGUGCCACGGGGACCCGGGCAACUUCUACGGCUACGACCCGCUGCAGCGGCAGAGCCUGUUCGGUGCGCAGGAUCCAGACCUGGUGCAGUACGCCGACUGCAAGCUCGCCGCCGCCAGCGGCCUGGGCGAGGAGGCCGAGGGUUCGGAGCAGAGCCCGUCGCCCACGCAGCUCUUCCCCUGGAUGCGCCCGCAAGCCGCCGGACGCAGGCGAGGCCGACAGACCUACAGCCGCUACCAGACCCUGGAGCUGGAGAAGGAGUUCCUAUUUAAUCCCUAUCUGACUCGCAAGCGGCGGAUCGAGGUAUCACAUGCGCUGGGACUAACAGAGAGACAGAUCAAAAUCUGGUUCCAGAACCGGAGGAUGAAGUGGAAAAAAAGAGAACAAAGAUAAGUUCCCCAGCAGCAAAUGCGAGCAGGAGGAGCUGGAGAAGCAGAAGCUGGAGCGGGCCCCGGAGGCGGCAGACGAGGGUGAUGCGCAGAAAGGCGACAAGAAGUAGGCUCCAGCUGGGACUGCCAGGGCCGCGGCCGCGCUGCGUCCGCGGGUCCCCAGACCGCGCUGCUGUCGCCCGCCCCCGCCCGAGAGAGCUCUGGCCCCGCGAGCGGGGCCGGGAGCCUGGCCUCCCACCGCAGCGUCCCCGCCGCGCCAGUCCCCGCUAGUGGUAGUAUCUCGUAAUAGCUUCUGUGUGUGAGCUACCGUGGAUCUCCUUCCCUUCUCUUGGGGGGCCGGGGGCAGGGGGAGAAAAAAGGAUUUUAAGCAAGGACUCCCUCGCCCUGCGAGGGUGAGCGGCUGCGGCCUGGCUGAGCCCCCCCCUACGCCCCCGCCCCAUGUAAAAAGCCUCCUUGUGCAAUGGUCUUUUUUUUUCCUUUGAACGUGCUUCUUUGUAAUGACCGAGGUACCGAUUUCUGCUAAGUUCUCCCAACAACAUGAAACUGCCUAUUCACACCGUAAUUCUUUCUGUCUCCCUCUCUCGCUUUCUCUCUGUCUCUCUCUCUCUCUCUCUCACCUCGUCCUCAUUUCCCCCUCCCACCCUCUCUCCCCGCUGCCCUCCCUAGCUCGCUGGCUUUUUCUCUGGCUUCUGUCUUUUCCUCCCCCCCCCACCCCCCGCUUUGGUUUGACAAUUUUGUCUUAAGUGUUUCUCAAAAGAGGUUACUUUAGUUAGCAUGCGCGCUGUGGGCAAUUGUUAAAAGUGUUCUUAGGUUUACUGUGAAGAGAAUGUAUCCUGUAUCCGUGAAUUGCUUUAUUGGGGGGAGGGAGGGCUAAUUAUAUAUUUUGUUGUUCCUCUAUACUUUGUUCUGUUGUCUGCGCCCGAAAAGGGCGGAAGAGUUACAAUAAAGUUUACAAGCGAGAACCCGAGACUGGCUCG